GCAAGUCGCACGAGAAAGUUCCAGCUUGCUGGAACGAGUAAAGUGGCGCACGGGUGAGUAACGCGUGGGUGAUCUACCCUCGAAUUUGGGAUAACUCUUCGAAAGGGGAGCUAAUACCGGAUGACAUCACAUUUUUUUCGAAAUAUGUGAUCAAAGAUGGCCUCUCCAUGGAAGCUAUUGUUUGAGGAUGAGCCCGCGUACCAUUAGCUAGUUGGUAGGGUAAAGGCCUACCAAGGCAACGAUGGUUAGCUGGUCUGAGAGGAUGACC
rnacentral:rRNA from 1 species